AUGAACGCUAGCUACAGGCUUAACACAUGCAAGUCGAGGGGCAGCAUGGUCUUAGCUUGCUAAGGCCGAUGGCGACCGGCGCACGGGUGAGUAACACGUAUCCAACCUGCCGUCUACUCUUGGACAGCCUUCUGAAAGGAAGAUUAAUACAAGAUGGCAUCAUGAGUCCGCAUGUUCACAUGAUUAAAGGUAUUCCGGUAGACGAUGGGGAUGCGUUCCAUUAGAUAGUAGGCGGGGUAACGGCCCACCUAGUCUUCGAUGGAUAGGGGUUCUGAGAGGAAGGUCCCCCACAUUGGAACUGAGACACGGUCCAAACUCCUACGGGAGGCAGCAGUGAGGAAUAUUGGUCAAUGGGCGCAGGCCUGAACCAGCCAAGUAGCGUGAAGGAUGACUGCCCUAUGGGUUGUAAACUUCUUUUAUAAAGGAAUAAAGUCGGGUAUGUAUACCUGUUUGCAUGUACUUUAUGAAUAAGGAUCGGCUAACUCCGUGCCAGCAGCCGCGGUAAUACGGAGGAUCCGAGCGUUAUCCGGAUUUAUUGGGUUUAAAGGGAGCGUAGAUGGAUGUUUAAGUCAGUUGUGAAAGUUUGCGGCUCAACCGUAAAAUUGCAGUUGAUACUGGAUAUCUUGAGUGCAGUUGAGGCAGGCGGAAUUCGUGGUGUAGCGGUGAAAUGCUUAGAUAUCACGAAGAACUCCGAUUGCGAAGGCAGCCUGCUAAGCUGCAACUGACAUUGAGGCUCGAAAGUGUGGGUAUCAAACAGGAUUAGAUACCCUGGUAGUCCACACCGUAAACGAUGAUUACUAGGUGUUGGAGGAUUGACCCCUUCAGUGCCGCAGUUAACACAAUAAGUAAUCCACCUGGGGAGUACGACCGCAAGGUUGAAACUCAAAGGAAUUGACGGGGGCCCGCACAAGCGGAGGAACAUGUGGUUUAAUUCGAUGAUACGCGAGGAACCUUACCCGGGCUUAAAUUGCAGAUGAAUUACGGUGAAAGCCGUAAGCCGCAAGGCAUCUGUGAAGGUGCUGCAUGGUUGUCGUCAGCUCGUGCCGUGAGGUGUCGGCUUAAGUGCCAUAACGAGCGCAACCCUUGUUGUCAGUUACUAACAGGUUCCGCUGAGGACUCUGACAAGACUGCCAUCGUAAGAUGUGAGGAAGGUGGGGAUGACGUCAAAUCAGCACGGCCCUUACGUCCGGGGCUACACACGUGUUACAAUGGGGGGUACAGAGGGCCGCUACCACGCGAGUGGAUGCCAAUCCCCAAAACCUCUCUCAGUUCGGACUGGAGUCUGCAACCCGACUCCACGAAGCUGGAUUCGCUAGUAAUCGCGCAUCAGCCACGGCGCGGUGAAUACGUUCCCGGGCCUUGUACACACCGCCCGUCAAGCCAUGGGAGCCGGGGGUGCCUGAAGUGCGUAACCGCGAGGAGCGCCCUAGGGUAAAACUGGUGACUGGGGCU
rnacentral:rRNA from 1 species